AGGAUGAUACUUUUGGAGUUGUGUGAGAUGAUGGUGGGAUGAUUUGACAAUUACCUCAUUAAUAAACUAACACUGAAGCCAUUUCUGCAGUAAUAAAAAACAACCAGAUUAACUGGGUUGUUUGUACUUUUUAACGAUCUUACAUCCAACUUUUAGAUGUUAUCACCCUUAUAACCGCCUUGAGCACAUUUCCCCCAUAUAAGCUGGUGCCGUAGGCGAAUCUAACUGCUUCCCUGUUCAUUUCUUGUGCCUUUUGCAGUGAGUCCUCACAAGGGGCUCUGAACGCAGCCCAGCACCGGUGAAUGCCUUCAUCUGUCAAUGUGUGGCAGGAGGGACCGCCGAGGGUUUAACUAGCUCACAGAUUUGGAUCAUCUCCUGAUGUUUUUGGAUAGAUGCACUUAAUAUAUUCCCAGGGUUUAGAUUUAAAUGUUGCUAAGCAUGUUUCUCAUUAGUAUGAUUUAUGUAACAUUAAUGUAACUCUUAGAAACAGACCAGUUCUCCAUGUGGGUAAAGUGAACUCUGGAAUUCUUUAUAAGGAAAACUUACUCAUUGACAUAACGCUGCUCCAUGGGAAUUGGUAGUGCUCCAGCGAGGCAGAAGUACAGUGAGGUCUGUAUUACUUCCGAAAACUUGAAACCAAGGCUAAAUGAUUUACUGUUUAGAUUUUAAAUUAUUUUUGAAAAAUAACAUACAAGUGUAAUUUAUAUGUCUUAAAAUAUUCUCAUUUUAAGUGUCUAGUUUGUUUUAAUAAUUUUGUAAACAUUCCCUGUAACCCACACUCCAAUGAAGCUACUGAAUAUUUGCAUCACUCCAGAAAGUUCUCUGCUAUACCUGUGCAAUCCAUUCCGCUCACUCCUAAUUUCAAGCAACAGUGAUGUCUCUGUUGCCAAAAUAUUGUUUGUUUUGAAAGCAUGGAAGUGACAGGAUGCGCUGUGGACUCUUCUGGAUGUGUGUUUUCCGUCAGCGGGAUGCUGUAAGAUUUGUCCAGUGUGUAAGGUUUUGCCAAAGUGGUACACUGCUCCUUAUUUCUGAAGGGAGCAGCAUUGAAUGGAUGCACCACCAUUGGUUUUCCAUCUCCUAUUUUUAUGAGAUGAAAAAUAAAAGUCAUCACAGCACUAACAUAC
rnacentral:lncRNA from 1 species